rfam:Camelus ferus unplaced genomic scaffold scaffold1533, whole genome shotgun sequence.
GAGGGUAUGGCUCAGCGGGAAAGCACAUGCUUAGCAUGCACAAGGUCUUGAGUUCAAUCCUCAGUACCUCCA